rnacentral:misc_RNA from 1 species
CCGAGUGAGGGCCCCCGGCCCGACCUCCAACCCUUUGUUAUCAAAACCACUGUUGCCUCGGGGGCGACCCGGGCCUGUCGGCGCGGGGCCCCCGGUGGACAAUUUCAAAACACUGCAUCUUUGCGUCGGAUUACAAAGUUUAAUUGAUUUA